UUAAGCCGGAGGAAGGUGGGAUGACGUCAAGUCAGCAUGGCCUUUAUGUCCUGGGCUACACACACGCUACAAUGGCCAACACAAUAGGUUGCUAAGCCGCGAGGUGGAGCCAAUCCUCAAAGUUAGGUCUCAGUUCAGAUUGCAGGCUGCAACCCGCCUGCAUGAAGAGUGGAGUUGCUAAGUAACCGCAGGUCAGCUAUACUGCGGUGAAUACCGGUUCCCGGGCUU
rnacentral:rRNA from 1 species